CUCCAUUUGAUCCGUUCUGUUCAAAUCCGUAGAUGCCGUACACUGUACCUGACGCAGAAGGCGAUGGAGAUUCGUUGUUUGGAUUCGUUCUGCUCCAACGACGAUGAGGCUCUUCAAAUCCGACGACUUGCUCUGGUUCCGAUUACAUUAUCUGGGCCCACCAAAUGAGUUUUUUGAUCGAUCGACGUAUAGUUAAUGGAGAUAACAUCAAACUUGUCAAAAACACUCCUCUCAUGAAAAACUUCAGUAAGAAGACUAUUGAGAAAGUUACUAUUGUAGAAGACGUCAAGUAUAUUGAGAGACUUGAGGACUUUGAUAGCAAAAAUCAUCAAAUCAUCACUUGGUUGGGUGACCUUUUCCAACUCUACUGCUCUUGAUGUCACAUCUAGGUAAUUCUUAGCUUCUUGACUUGGCCUUUUGUAAUCAUAUGACGUUUGAUAUUUCUUUAUUGUCCUCUCCUAUUCAAUCCCUUCCUUCAAUCUACUAUGCUGAUGGUAAUCACAUGUCUAUUUCUCACAUCUGUUCUGUUAAUACACCUACCACAAACCUUUUCAACACUUGUCACAUCCCUAAUUUAACAUUCAACCUCGCUUCUGUUGGUCCAUUAUGUGAUCUCGACCUAACCAUUGUCUCCUCUUC